UACAGAGGUGGCAAGCGUUGUUCGGAAUUACUGGGCGUAAAGCGUGCGCAGGCGGUUCGUUAAGUUCGAUGUGAAAGCCCCGGGCUCAACCUGGGAACUGCAUUGGAAACUGGCGGGCUUGAGUGUGGCAGAGGGGGGUGGAAUUCCACGUGUAGCAGUGAAAUGCGUAGAUAUCUGGAGGAACACCGGUGGCGAAGGCGGCAUCCUGGACCGGCAUUGACGCUGAGGCGCGAAAGCCAGGGGAGCAAACGGG
rnacentral:rRNA from 1 species